rnacentral:rRNA from 1 species
UUCACGGUAUUGCAAUGAGAACAAUUUAAAACCCUUAGCGAGAAUCAAGUGGAGGACAAGUCUGGUGCCAGCACCCGCGGUAAUUCCAGCUCCACUAGCGUAUAUUAAAGUUGUUGCAGUUAAAAAGCUCGUAGUUGAACCUCUGUCUGGGGCUAGUUUUGGCUUUGGUCAGGCUAGUUCUAGGCAUCCGCCUACAAGACUUAGAGGGCAUUCAGUUGUUCACUAGGAGGAGUAGGCAUUUUACUUUGAAAAAAUUAGAGUGUUUAAGGCAGGCAAUCGCCCGCAUAUAUUAGCAUGGAAUAAUAGAAUAGGACACUUUUCCAUUUCGUUGGUUAUUGGAAUCGUGUAAUGAUUAAUAGGGACAGUUGUAGGCAUUUGUAUUUAAUUGUCAGAGGUGAAAUUCUUGGAUUUAUUAAAGACAAACUAACGCGAAAGCAUUUGCCAAGGAUGUUUUCAUUAAUCAAGAACGAAAGUUAGGGGAUCAAAGACGAUCAGAUACCGUCCUAGUCUUAACUAUAAACUAUUCCGACUCAAUGUUUGACUGGCUUAUAUAACCAGUUGAGCGUUGUAUGAGAAAUCAAAGUCUUUAGGUUCUGGGGGGAGUAUGGUUGCAAAGCUGAAACUUAAAGGAAUUGACGGAAGAGCACAACCAGGAGUGGAUUCUGCGGCUUAAUUUGACUCAACACGGGGAAACUUACCAGGUUAAAACAAUAGUGGGAUUGACAGUUUGAGAGCGCUUUCUUGAUUGGUUGGGUGGUGGUGCAUGGCCGUUCUUAGUUGGUGGAGUGAUUUGUCUGCUUAAUUGCGUUAACGAACGAGACCUUAACCUGCUUACUAGACUGGCGAUCAUCAAUCGUUAGCUCUUCUUAGAGGGACUUUGGUUGUUUUAACUCCAAGGAAGUUUGAGGCAAUAACAGGUCUGUGAUGCCCUUAGAUAUCCUGGGCCGCACGCGUCAUACAAUGACUAGUUCAGAAAGUUUUCUCCUGACCCGAAAGGGGAUGGGUAAUCUUGAUAAUACUAGUCGUGUUAGGGAUCGAUCUUUGCAAUUAUAGAUCUUGAACGAGGAAUUCCUAGUAAGUGCGGUUCAUCAGACCGUACUGAUUACGUCCCUGCUCUUUGUACACACCGCCCGUCGCUUCUACCGAGUGGGUGGUCCGGUGAGAUAAUUGAACUUCGCAGGUAACUGAGAGGAAAGAUUAUCAAACCUAUCCACCU